rnacentral:rRNA from 1 species
UGGGGAAUAUUGGACAAUGGGCGCAAGCCUGAUCCAGCCAUGCCGCGUGAGUGAUGAAAGGCCCCUAGGGUUGUAAAGCUCUUUCGCCAGGGACGAUAAUGACGGUACCUGGAUAAGAAGCCCCGGCUAACUUCGUGCCAGCAGCCGCGGUAAUACGGAGGGGGCUAGCGUUGUUCGGAAUCACUGGGCGUAAAGCGCACGUAGGCGGAUCUUUAAGUCAGGGGUGAAAUCCCCGAGGCUCAACCUCGGAACUGCCUCUGGUACUGGAGGUCUCGAGUUCGGGAGAGGUGAGUGGAACUGCGAGUGUAGAGGUGAAAUUCGUAGAUAUUCGCAAGAACACCAGUGGCGAAGGCGGCUCACUGGCCCGAUACUGACGCUGAGGUGCGAAAGCGUGGGGAGCAAAACAGGAUUAGAUACCCUGGUAGUCCACGCCGUAAACGAUGGAUGCUAGCCGUUGGGGAGCUUGCUCUUCAGUGGCGCAGCUAACGCUUUAAGCAUCCCGCCUGGGGAGUACGGUCGCAAGAUUAAAACUCAAAUGAAUUGACGGGGUCAUAGCUGUUUCC